ensembl:lincRNA
AUGGCAGAGGUCAGGCCCGUGAAUCAGCCCACUUUCCCCAGCCUCCUAGAACUGCAGGAAGGAAUGGGCACAAACACGAAGACAGGAAGUGGGGGGUCAUCAUAUUCACACCCCAGGUAUCACGCACCUGAUACCAGAAUGGGGCCGCCAGGGCCAGCAGCUCCGAGCACCGCGGGUGAAGGGUGGUUUCGCUCGCACCCCUCCCGCGGCCUCCCCUGCAAGCCCUCGGCUGCUCUGCAGAGUCUCAUGUGGAUCACAGCAUUCGAUCCGAGGCAGCGGAACAUUCCUUCCCUGCCUGGCCCACUAGCGCGGCUCUCGGGUUAUCGGGUGUCGGUGCGCGGGGUGACCCCGGCUGGGGUGUGGGCGGGAACUGAGAAGCGGCUUCUCCGGCCCAGGCACCUGCUCGCUCUUUCACCCCGUGGAGCUGCGUGCUUGAAGAGCACUAGCUGUUUACAGCGGCCCCUGUCUGGAGCCGGGUGUGGCUGGUCCCUUCCCGGACACCAGACCACAGGUGUCCCCACUGGGUUUAGGGCGGCCCAGCAGACUUGUAAACAAACGGCCGCCGGUUCAGAUUCCAUGCAAAACUGACGUCCUGGGGAUCAAACCCGAGGCCUCCCACAUGCUGAUCCAACCCUCUGACCGAGCUCAUCCCCAGCCCCCAGACCUGGCACUUCACGCUGUGACCACACAACAGUCUCACCUUCCUAACGGCCCCCUCGGCCGGCGACAGAGAAAUCAGCAGCCACAGCGGUGUUCUGUUUGUGCAAAGGCCCGAGGAGGAGAGAUGAAGACCUCUCCCAGAACCUAGUCUGGAGGUUCACCUACCCCAGCUGCCGCCCGCCGCCCCCGCCGGCCUCAGAGGACCCCAGCAGCCUCUCACCUGGCCCUACCCGGCUUGCCCUCCCCCACCGCACCCCAAGCCCAAGCCAGCCGUGUGAGAACAGCUGGCUCCCAGCCGUCUGCUGUCCUGCACCCUGGGAAACAGGUGGCCUGAGUCAGCGACACCCAGAGGCCGCCUCACUCUUCCAUCGGCUGUGUUUUCCUGCAGCAAACGCCCUGGGGGUGGAGUCAGUAACCACGGAAAAGGAGCCUGGGUUGGAGCUGGACUUAGACUUGGGGGGUUUGGGGGAGUCACAGGGGCAGAGGCCUAACAUGAACUCUUAUAUUUUAGGAUGGCUUCUUUUGCUUAAUUUAUGUUCACUGCUACAACAAAGCAGCUAUAGAGUAGAGCAUGUAGAGGGUAUUUUUUUUUUCCUAUACAGUAUUUUUUUAAAAAUACAGCCACAGAAACUGGCAUGGUGGCACAUGCCUGUAAUCCCAGCACUAGGGAGGCUGAGGCAGGAGGAUCAUUGCAAGUUUGAGACCAGCCUGGGCUACAAAGUGAGCUCAAGGCCAGCCUGAAUUGUAUAGAGAGACCCUGUCUCAAAAAAAAAAAAAAAAAAAAACAAGUAAAUAAAAAAAUGUGGCCGCAGAAAGGUAAAAUUUCUCCAGCAAUUUCCAAGUGUUCAGUACAAUGUUGGCAACCAGAAUCACAUUACCGGACAGCCAAUCCACAGAACUCCGCCCUCAUCCUACCACUGUGUCAAACAUAAUCCCGUAACCCUCACCUGCUCCUCCUCCCCACAACCCCGACCCCUUCCUCCCUCCCUCCUUCCUUCCUCUCUCCCUUCCUUCCUUCCUCCCUCCUUCCUUCCUCCCUUCCUUCCUUCCUCCCUUCCUUCCUCCCUCCCUUCCUUCCCUCCUUCCUGUCUCUCCCCUUCCCGCACCCCUCCCCCUCUUCCUCUCUCUGUUUUGGGAUCUGGGAUCAAACACUCAGGGCUCUGGGCAUGUCGGGCAAGUGCUCUGUUCCUGAGACACAUCCAAGCCCGUUUGUUUACCAAGACAAGGUCCUGCUAAGUUACCCAGGUUCUAUCACCUCCGGAUGGCAGCACAGGCUGGCACCGAGCCUUAGUGGCCAGGCCUGUGGGGAGCACCCACAUCUGAACUCUAACACAUAGGUGCCGUCAUUCAGGGUUUGCCUUCCUGGGACUAAAUUAUUUCGUGUAGCAGAAUGUGUCAGAAUUUCUUUCUUUUGGGGGGUGAGGUUUAAGAGAGGACCUCACUGUGUUAUCC